rnacentral:rRNA from 1 species
GGCGAGUUACGAUUUGAUGCAAGGUUAAGCAGUAAAUGUGGAGCCGUAGCGAAAGCGAGUCUGAAUAGGGCGUUUAGUAUUUGGUCGUAGACCCGAAACCAGGUGAUCUACCCUUGGUCAGGUUGAAGUUCAGGUAACACUGAAUGGAGGACCGAACCGACUUACGUUGAAAAGUGAGCGGAUGAACUGAGGGUAGCGGAGAAAUUCCAAUCGAACCUGGAGAUAGCUGGUUCUCUCCGAAAUAGCUUUAGGGCUAGCCUCAAGUGAUGAUUAUUGGAGGUAGAGCACUGUUUGGACGAGGGGCCCCUCUCGGGUUACCGAAUUCAGACAAACUCCGAAUGCCAAUUAAUUUAACUUGGGAGUC